AGGAGCAGUUGACAGAGUAUUUUCCUUUUGCAAAAGCUUUGUCAURAAAUUCAUAUAYGUUGUCUGUGGUUCUUUUAUGUAGGUUCUAGGAAAAUACCUAUCAAAUAGCACUUUUUAACAACUGAAAGCAACAGUUUAUUGUGCUCAAAAGUGGCAACAUAUCCCUGGAAAACACAAAAUACUGAACUGCCUGUUAAAAGACUGAUCAGCAUCAGGUACAAAAAAUCCUGAUCGGAAUAAAAGUUGGGAGAUGACGACGUUCUUCCUGCUGUGUUGUUGUCGUACCUGCUCCGUGUUUUCGUGGAUACCUUUCUGAUCUCCGUCUUCCCCGGGGAGGUUUGUGUUCUGUUGCAUCAGCAGCGCCGCAGCUUUGAGCUCAUAUCUGGUUCUUGAAAUUCGCCUCCUGGGUUAACAUCAUCCUUCUUUUGAAGUGAACCCAUUACCGACGACAACAGUACAGACAAAAUGAAGAUGGUGCGAUUCUUACCAGCAUCUGUCAUCCACAAUGAGCCUCUGCAGCAAGCUGCUGCUUUUUUUUUUUUUUUACACUCACUGGGAUGAUGCAAUUAUCUGAAAAGAGAACGGCUGCCUCUCCGCUUUCAUUCUUUACUCUUCCAUUUUACUUUGUUUCUUUUGCAGCUGCACAGUGAGGUUCAAAUGAGCAAUUUGGCAAAACAUUUUUAUAUCACUGUCGCACUAAAACCUCCAGCAGGCCUGCUGCUGCCCAUGUUGGGGUUUCUGUGCCCUCUGCAUUGUGAUCAGUGUCGUAUUUGUUCUUUUAGCAGGUAAUAAAGUUCCACGGGGGAAAAUCGCCCGGAUGAAAGCCGGCAGGAACAACAGAACGCCUCCUUUUGAUUGAAGCUCGCACAGAAAUUAGAACAGCAUCCACAUUCUGACUGGACUCACAACGGGAAAUAUAUCACAUCAGAGCAGAUGAGAGGGUCAGGUCGCGGGGGCAGCAGCUUCAGAAGGGAGGCCCAGACUU